AGCUACAAUCGAUUUCGGCCACAGUAGUCUAAAGUCUAAACUUUCCUCCUUCCUUCGAUUAGGUUAACUCCUCUCCGCCGACCGACUGUCCCAAACUCCCACUGCCAUCGCUGCUGCUGCUAGCUCCCUUUCCACUUCCUCCCACUUCGGCCACUGCCGUUGCUGCUACUGCUACUGCCAUUUCCUCCCACUUCCGCCACUUCAUCGCGGUGCAGUAGCUCCAUCUCCACCACUUCCGCCAGCUCCACUUCAGCAACCUCCAAGUCGCGCAAGAAUCUGAGUGCGCAACCCACUGACGAAGGCCGACUGACGGACGAGGAUCUGGAAGGCCAUCUCCGGGCUUUGUCUAAGCUUUUCCAGCGUCGCCAGUGUACCACCCGCUGAGCCCAUCUCCACCACUCCUUACCAUCAUCCUCAUAUCAGUCCACUGGAUUUUGUCCCUAGAUUUUGCAGCUUUUUGGUGCCAGCUCCAGCUCCAACUUGCUCAUUGUUGAUUGGAUAACUAGUGGCCGUUAUGGAAGAGGUGAAAAGUGGGACUUUGAACUUUAUAGGAGCACUAACAACAUUUUUCUAGAAGCUGAUGAGCCUUUGUUUCUUGACACGGUAUUGUCAUCCUCAAGCCAUGUUUUUUAACUAUGCUAGCAUCAUUGUAUACUAAGCAUGUGAUAUUGAAGAGAGUGGUGAAACUGAAGUAUUUUAAUCUUAUAAGAAAUUUUUAUUUUUUGAACUAUUGCUUGCAAUAGAUUCAUGUCAGUCUUGAAUAUCUUUAGAUUUUGAUGGAAUGUUGUAUUUCUUUUUUGUUUUAAUUGCUUUCGAGCUUUUGUGGGGCAGUCGGCAAAAUGGACAAUAGGAAAAACAAUGGAAUCCAGUUACCAUGUGCUUCUUUGCUGCUUUAGGUAUAAGUUCUUUUCCUGGCAGAAUGCAAUUCCAAUUCUUCUACAACUUCUUGCAUUAGUGAAAUGCUUGUUUAGCUGAAUUUUAUAUUGCUUGAUAGAGGUUUCAAAGUGUGGUUCUUUUGUUCUUAUGAUGGCAGAAACUGUUAAUUUGUAUUAGUGGAUAAUUUUGGAGAAUUUGUGUUAGUGGACAUUUGGAAAUUAUGAUUGUAUUAGUGCUGUUUCGUGCUUAAAUUUCCAGAAA